rnacentral:snoRNA from 1 species
AAGACUAUACUUUCAGGGAUCAUUUCUAUGGUUUGUUACUAGAGAAGCUUCUCUGAUCGUGUAGAGUACCUGAAACAAGGAGGAGGUGCAGUGCUCUCUCCUGAGUGUGAAGCUGGCUCUUGGUAUUGCUUUAUUGCAACUGCCACUUGCCAUUGAUGAUUGUUCUUCCUUACUCUCUUACAAGAGAAUGGGAGGGAGUGAGCUCAAGAAUGU